AACUCACCAGGUCAGGACACGGUAAGGAUUGACGGACUGAAGGCUCUUUCUCGAUUCCGUGGAAAGUGGUGCAUGGCCGUUUUUGGUUGGUGGAUCGAUCCGUCUGGUUAAUUCCGUUAACGAACGAGACCUCGGCACUCCGAAUAGCGCGGCGGACGUCGCGGCCUCCGGGCCGUCUUCCGCACGAGCUUCUUAGAGGGACCGUCCCCCGCCGGGGAAGGAGGUGCGAGGCAACGACAGGUCUGUGAUGCCCUUAGAUGUUCUGGGCCGCACGCGCAUUACACUGACGCGUCCAACGGGUGACUCCCGACCCGAAGGGGCCGGGGAAUCCGCAAGGCGCGUCGUGAUGGGGAUUGAACGUUGCAAUUGUUGUUCACGAACGAGGAAUUCCUAGUAGGCGCGGGUCAUCAACCCGCGCCGAUUACGUCCCUGCCCUUUGUACACACC
rnacentral:rRNA from 1 species